GACGAACGCUGGCGGCGUGCCUAACACAUGCAAGUCGAGCGGGGAAAAUUGGAAAGCUUGCUUUCGGUUUUUCUAGCGGCGGACGGGUGAGUAACGCGUGAGCAAUCUGUCUCAAACAGGGGGAUAACGCAGCGAAAGUUGCACUAAUACCGCAUAAGACCACAGUGCCGCAUGGUACAGGGGUCAAAGGAGCAAUCCGGUUUGAGGUGAGCUCGCGUCCCAUUAGGUAGUUGGUGAGGUAACGGCCCACCAAGCCGACGAUGGGUAGCCGACCUGAGAGGGUGAUCGGCCACACUGGAACUGAGACACGGUCCAGACUCCUACGGGAGGCAGCAGUGGGGAAUAUUGGGCAAUGGGCGAAAGCCUGACCCAGCAACGCCGCGUGAGGGAAGAAGGUUCUCGGAUUGUAAACCUCUGUCCUAAGAGAAGAGGGGAAGACGGUAUCUUAGGAGGAAGCCCCGGCUAACUACGUG
rnacentral:rRNA from 1 species